rnacentral:rRNA from 1 species
CAGCCGCCGCGGUAAUACCUGCAGCUCAAGUGGUGAUCAUUAUUAUUGGGCCUAAAACGUCCGUAGCCGGUUUAGUAAAUGCCUGGGUAAAUCGUGUAGCUUAACUAUACGACUUCCGGGUAGACUGCUAAACUUGAGACCGGGAGAGGCUAGAGGUACUCCUGGGGUAGAGGUGAAAUUCUGUAAUCCUAGGGGGACCACCAGUGGCGAAGGCGUCUAGCUAGAACGGGUCUGACGGUGAGGGACGAAGCCCUGGGGCRCAAACCGGAUUAGAUACCCGGGUAGUCCAGGGUGUAAACGCUGCUUGCUUGAUGUUAGUUGGGCUCCGAGCCCAACUAGUGUCGGAGAGAAGUUGUUAAGCAAGCUGCCUGGGAAGUACGGUCGCAAGRCUGAAACUUAAAGGAAUUGGCGGGGGAGCAC